CAUCUUUCUGGCAAUCAUCACUUCAGCCGGAUAUCUCAGAGAAAUGGCAAGCUCUCUGCAGCGAAUAGCGAGACAUUCCCCUCUUGCCGCCUACCGAUCUUCUCUCACGCCGAUAUGGAGACAAUUUGCGUCAGAAGCGUUGGUCGAAAUCAAGGCCGGCGAGAUCGGUAUGGUCUCUGGUAUUCCUGAUGAACAUCUUCGCCGAAGGGUUGUGAUUUUCUCACCUGCUCGGACUGCUAGUCAACAGGGGUCUGGAAAAGUUGGAAGAUGGAAAAUCAAUUUCUUGUCAACCCAGAAAUGGGAGAAUCCAUUGAUGGGUUGGACAUCCACAGGGGAUCCAUAUGCCAAUGUUGGUGAAUCCGCGCUUAGUUUUGAGAGUGAAGAAGCUGCAAAAGCAUUUGCUGAAAAGCAUGGCUGGGAAUACACGGUUAAGAAGCGCCACACACCAUUGUUAAAGGUUUGAAAUCUCUUCAAAAAAAAACUGAAUUUGUGAUUUGCCCAAUCCAGCAGCUCUGGUGUAGACAUUUAUACUGAUCAAGUCGUAUGCGGAAAACUUCAAGUGGAAGGGGCCUCCCAAGACAGAAGAAUAAUCUAUUUUCUACUGCAUUCAAAGUGCUUGAGAGGCUUAUGGAUGUACUGUCACAGUGCGUUGCAUUCCUUUUUUUACCUUACCUUUUAUAAAGAUCAGUUGGUUUCCUCCUUGAAGGAUUUCUUAAGCUUCUUUCAAUAAUAAAUCAAACAUAUGAAAAAUCCACAAGUACAUGGAAUGUCUUAAGACCUUUGUGAAGCAAUUUCCGGGUGCUACACCCGAUCCUACCUUGUAGUGGUUAUUGGAGGUUAGUAUUAGGAUUUUGGUGCGUUAGAAAACUUAUGCCUUGUUAUUCUUUUUUUACUAAAAAGAAUUUAGUGUGUGCAGUGGACUGUCCAAGACAAAUUUCUUACCAAGUGUAUGAUGCAGUCAAGAAAAAUAACUUCCCCUGAGGAAUAGGGGAAGAUUACUGAAUGUGGCAAUAGGAGAUUUUUUCUCUUUACUAAGCAUGAAAUAGUAGGUCGGGUUGAGUUUGUUUAAAGCUUGUUCAAGUUUAACAAAUUUGAAAGUUGUUGGUCUGGCUCAGUUAAACUUAUAGAACUUUAUCAGUUAUAAGGCAGAUGGAUUUUGCGCUA